CACGCUUCUAUUCCACAUCUACCAGGGUAUACUAAGGAGCACAGAGAAGCACACAGAACACUUUUAAAAUAUUUUCUAAAGCAACACUCACUUCUUGUUUGGUCAAGAUGUAGGCUAAAUUAGCUUACACUGAGCUUUAUUGCUACAGUAGAUAACCUUAUUUCCGAUAAUAUUUUCAGCUUUAAGUAAAGCCUUCACAGCACCUUUCCUGUCAAAACAGUCUACCAUCUCCUCAUUGCCCUCUUCUACAACAUAGCUUGAAUUACUUGCUCCCAUGCAUACGGUACAUACAGAACUACACUAUGAAGUUAGUUUCCUGUAAGGAGCCAGAUUCCCUCUACACCUCUGGAGACCUCUGGAUGUCAUGGUACUGAACAGUCAAAAACAACUACUUGCUUCCUCUUCCUUUGAGUUAUUCCUUCACAGCAAAGUCAGAUAGUGAGUUGAAGACUCAAAAUGGAAGGACUGGAGUAACACUAUUUCAGAAUAUACAAAGAAUUUGAAGUAAUACAGCCUGAAACUAACAAGGCAGAACUUUCCCUUUUAUCCGAAACCUUUUCAGAAGAUAUGAAGGGUGCAGAAUUGAAGUGUCAUAUGCUAGUAAUGGUAAGAUCAAGAAUCCCAGCCUGAUACUAGACUAACGGUAGGAUAGAAUCAUUGUAGGUGAUGAAUACUAGGAAAUAAAAAGUAGGCAUAGUGUAAAUAUAUUUAAUUUUAUAUACAUGCAAAAGAUAUUUACUUAUACAGAUGAGAGACUUAAGUUUUAUCAUUUCAAGCCAGCUCAUUGUCUUUUAAAGAGCAUGAAAACAUGACUGUCAUGAUACUUGUAUUGUUUAAUACAAUACUUCUAUAGUUUAACAGAAAUGAAAAUUGUCAUACUGCUAAUAACAAUACAGAUAUUAUAGAUGAAGUAGUGAUGCAAGUUUAAGAAAAUUGAUUUUUUUUGUGGCUUAUAAAUGUUAGUAUGAUUAAAAAACAUGGAGAAAAUAAAUGUGAAGUUGACUAAAAGAUAUAGCAAGUAUGAUCAAGGCAGUGUCCUCUUUCCUUUCUCCAGCUUUCCUCAGAAUUGUGUUUCUGAACAAUUAGCUUUCUCACUUCUGUGUAAAUGCAAAUGAGGUGAUCAAUUACUUUCAUUUUUGCAAUGAGGAAUUUUCCUUCUGAUAUCGACACUAUUAAGCCUUCAACUUGCUAUAAUAGUCAUACUGUGACUUUUCAGAGAUGAUGAUAGGAAAAGAACACAUCUGUUAACUGGCCUUAAAUGAUCUAUAUGAUAUUAGUUUAAUGGCAUCACAAGCAAUUAGUAUUCUGUCUUCUGCUUAAUGAGAAAGAGUAAUGACUAAUAUUCCUGAGGUAACAACAUGGAAAGCUAAUGAACUAAGGCACUAUAGGAUAAACAUUUCAGUGCAAUUAAGUUGGCAGUGAUGCUCCUGGCAAAGUGUGCAUACUCCACCAUCCUUAUGAAUCCAGUAGAUAUACAACUACUAACUCAAGACAUGUGUAUAUAUGUAUACACAUUAGUCUUAACAAUUAAGACAGAUUGCUCGGUUUUAUUGUCCAUUUUUACUCUUCUUUGAGACACUUCUGGCUCAGACUUGAAAUAAUACUUCUGGUUAGUUUCACUUCUGUUAUCUUUAAUACUCUAAAACAGCGGAG
ensembl:lncRNA